rnacentral:tmRNA from 1 species
GUGAGUGGCCUGCCUUUCGGCAGCUCGCGGACGAAAAUUGUAGAAAGGAUAAACGUGUAGAAGCUCUUUGGAUGGUUUGUUUGGACGGCGGUUCGAGUCCGCCCAUCUCCACAA